GAUCCUGGCUCAGGAUGAACGCUGGCGGCGUGCUUAACACAUGCAAGUCGAACGGAGCUACUUUAAUGAGAUUCUUCGGAAAGGAUUUGAUUUAGUUUAGUGGCGGACGGGUGAGCAACGCGUGGGUAACCUGCCUCAUACAGGGGGAUAACAGUUGGAAACGGCUGUUAAUACCGCAUAAGCGCACAGUACCGCAUGGUACCGUGUGAAAAACUCCGGUGGUAUGAGAUGGACCCGCGUCUGAUUAG
rnacentral:rRNA from 1 species